UACGUAGGGUGCAAGCGUUGUCCGGAAUUAUUGGGCGUAAAGGGUGCGUAGGCGGUUUGACAAGUCUGAUGUGAAAUCUAUGAGCUCAACCCAUAGUCUGCAUCGGAAACUGUCGGGCUUGAGUAUGGGAGAGGUGAGUGGAAUUUCCGGUGUAGCGGUGAAAUGCGUAGAUAUCGGAAGGAACACCUGUGGCGAAAGCGGCUCACUGGACCAUUACUGACGCUGAGGCACGAAAGCUAGGGAGCAAACAGG
rnacentral:rRNA from 1 species